rnacentral:miRNA from 1 species
UCACAACCUUUUUGAGUUAGCU